AUUGAACGCUGGCGGCAGGCCUAACACAUGCAAGUCGAGCGGAGCGGCGGACGGGUGAGUAAUGACUAGGAAUCUGUCUGGCCGUGGGGGAUAGCGUCCGGCUACGGGCGCUAAUACCGCAUAUUCUCUGUUGAGCCUAGAUGGGAUUAGCUAGUUGGUGGGGUAAGGGCUUACCAAGGUGACGAUCCCUACCUGGUCUGAGAGGAGGAUCAGUCACACUGGGACUGAGACACGGCCCAGACUCCUACGGGAGGCAGCAGUGGGGAAUAUUGGACAAUGGGCGAAAGCCUGAUGCAGCCAUGCCGCGUGUAUGAAGAAGGUCUUAGGAUUGUAAAGUACUUUCAGUCGGGAGGCGUUACCGACAGAAGAAGCACCGGCUAACUCCGUGCCAGCAGCCGCGGUAAUUC
rnacentral:rRNA from 1 species